rnacentral:rRNA from 1 species
AUGAAUUGACGGGGGCCCGCACAAGCGGUGGAGCAUGUGGUUUAAUUCGAUGCAACGCGAAGAACCUUACCUGGUCUUGACAUCCACAGAACUUUCCAGAGAUGGAUUGGUGCCUUCGGGAACUGUGAGACAGGUGCUGCAUGGCUGUCGUCAGCUCGUGUUGUGAAAUGUUGGGUUAAGUCCCGCAACGAGCGCAACCCUUAUCCUUUGUUGCCAGCGGUUAGGCCGGGAACUCAAAGGAGACUGCCAGUGAUAAACUGGAGGAAGGUGGGGAUGACGUCAAGUCAUCAUGGCCCUUACGACCAGGGCUACACACGUGCUACAAUGGCAUAUACAAAGAGAAGCGACCUCGCGAGAGCAAGCGGACCUCAUAAAGUAUGUCGUAGUCCGGAUUGGAGUCUGCAACUCGACUCCAUGAAGUCGGAAUCGCUAGUAAUCGUAGAUCAGAAUGCUACGGUGAAUACGUUCCCGGGCCUUGUACACACCGCCCGUCACACCAUGGGAGUGGGUUGCAAAAGAAGUAGGUAGCUUAACCUUCGGGAGGGCGCUUACCACUUUGUGAUUCAUGACUGGGGUGAAGUCGUAACAAGGUAACUGCAUUCGAAACUGGCAGGCUAGAGUCUUGUAGAGGGGGGUAGAAUUCCAGGUGUAGCGGUGAAAUGCGUAGAGAUCUGGAGGAAUACCGGUGGCGAAGGCGGCCCCCUGGACAAAGACUGACGCUCAGGUGCGAAAGCGUGGGGAGCAAACAGGAUUAGAUACCCUGGUAGUCCACGCCGUAAACGAUGUCGAUUUGGAGGUUGUGCCCUUGAGGCGUGGCUUCCGGAGCUAACGCGUUAAAUCGACCGCCUGGGGAGUACGGCCGCAAGGUUAAAACUCAAAUGAAUUGACGGGGGCCCGCACAAGCGGUGGAGCAUGUGGUUUAAUUCGAUGCAACGCGAAGAACCUUACCUGGUCUUGACAUCCACAGAACUUUCCAGAGAUGGAUUGGUGCCUUCGGGAACUGUGAGACAGGUGCUGCAUGGCUGUCGUCAGCUCGUGUUGUGAAAUGUUGGGUUAAGUCCCGCAACGAGCGCAACCCUUAUCCUUUGUUGCCAGCGGUUCGGCCGGGAACUCAAAGGAGACUGCCAGUGAUAAACUGGAGGAAGGUGGGGAUGACGUCAAGUCAUCAUGGCCCUUACGACCAGGGCUACACACGUGCUACAAUGGCAUAUACAAAGAGAAGCGACCUCGCGAGAGCAAGCGGACCUCAUAAAGUAUGUCGUAGUCCGGAUUGGAGUCUGCAACUCGACUCCAUGAAGUCGGAAUCGCUAGUAAUCGUAGAUCAGAAUGCUACGGUGAAUACGUUCCCGGGCCUUGUACACACCGCCCGUCACACCAUGGGAGUGGGUUGCAAAAGAAGUAGGUAGCUUAACCUUCGGGAGGGCGCUUACCACUUUGUGAUUCAUGACUGGGGUGAAGUCGUAACAAGGUAACCGUAGGGGAACCUGCGGUUGGAUCACCU